rnacentral:rRNA from 1 species
AUGGUGCACGGUGGCUACAUGGUGCCCCUCCAACCGCAAGUGGAGGAGGAACACCGCGUGGCGAAAAUCAUGGCAGAGUUCGACGCAAUCAUUGCCAAAUAUGAGGCCUCAGACGCCAAAUGGAAGUCAUCCUUGUUGUCAUCGUUGGAGAAGAAGGGUGAGGAGAUGGAGGAGGAGGAUAAAGAGGAGGAGGAAGAGGGGCUGAAAGAGUGGGAGCAGCCUGAUGCCGACGCGGCGGUGCACAGUGGCGUCAUGGUGCCCCUCCAACCGCAAUUGGAGAAGGAACUCCGCGUGGCCGAGGCCACGCACGGGGCGGAAAUCGGGGCAGAGGUCGAUGCCAUCGAGGACGCACGCGAGUCCCCAGGCACCGAUUGGAUGUCCUCCUUGUUGUCGUCGUUGGAGAAUAAGGAUGAGGAGAUGAAGGAGAAUUAA